UGUCGGGCUGAUAACUAGGCGGUGGUUUCGGUUUGCUCAACGACCUUUGCCCUUUAAGUGCCCGAGAGAUGGAGAUCUCGGCGGUCGAUCUUACACAUUUGCUUUCUUUCAUCGUGUUUGUUAUAUGUUUAAUCGACCGCAACAUUC
rnacentral:snoRNA from 1 species